UACGGAGGGAGCUAGCGUUAUUCGGAGUUACUGGGCGUAAAGCGUGCGUAGGCGGUGUCUUAAGUUUGUUGUGAAAUCUCCCGGCUUAACCGGGAGGGUGCGGCGAAUACUGAGAUGCUGGAGUGCCGGAGAGGUAAGCGGAAUUCCUGGUGUAGCGGUGAAAUGCGUAGAUAUCAGGAGGAACACCUGCGGUGUAGACGGCUUACUGGACGGUAACUGACGCUGAGGCGAAGAACGUGGGAGCAAACAGG
rnacentral:rRNA from 1 species